CCGAGCUUUUUUGGCUCGAGCUCGGUCGCUACGUAGCGACCGAGCGGGACGAGCGCUCGGUCGCUGCGUAGCGACCAAGCCUGGCUCGGGUUUGGUUGCUACGUAUCAUGGAUUACCCUCACCUCCCUCUUUCUCUCUUGAUUGAUCUAAACACUAGAUAGCAUUCUCUCUGCUCAGAACAAUCUAUAAAUAGAAGAUCCCAACCUCAGCCACACGUAUGUGACGAGGCCGUUAGGAGCACAUGGGAUGUCUCUCACUUGUUAUUUUUUAUUCCGUAGAGACAGCUGGCAAGUGAUAAGAUCAUCUGCCUUCUAGAAAUUCAUACUCUCUGCUGCAGGCUUGCUUCACUGAUGGGCCGAACCUUGUCAUUCCCUUGGUUUGAUCCAAUAUAGCAGCACACAUAACAUGUUUCGGGAGUGUAAAAUGGAAAAUGAGACAUGACAUGUGUUAUGAGCACACUUUGAUCCUAUUUGUGGCUGCAUCACAACCUUGUGACUAAUUAUAGAGGCAGAAUCAGCCAAUACAUGAUAUAUACUGGAGUCAAUGAUAUCAUUGAGAGAAGCUACAUGGGUUUUCUGUCUUCUUUUAUACUCCCUCUGUUUUUUUUAUGGAGGUAGUUUUAGGUGAAUGCACAAUUAUUAAAAAAAGUUAUUAAUUUUUUCAAAAAUAGCAUUUGAUAUAUAAAUUAGGUAUAGUCCAAACCAAUCAUAAAUAAGUAUAUACUAGAUUUUGUAAUUAAAUAUAUUGUAAACGAAUUUCUAUAUAAGAUAGUGUAUAAGUUUGAGCACAUUUAUCCAAAACCACGGACCAAACCGUACCAAGCUGAAAAACCAAAAUUGAAUUGAAUUGCAUAAAUAAUAUAGCAAAUCAUAAAUCUAUGACCGAAAAAUUGAAACCAAACCGAGAACCAAAUGAGUACCUGAAUUUUUAAAUAAAAAUUAUAUAUUUAAAAAUAUUAAUUACAUUCAAUUUUUAAAUAAACACAUAUCCUAAAAAUACUAUUUAUAAACCGGAUAACACGAAAACUUGAAUUACCUGAAUAUUUUUAUUUGGUUGAUAAAUAAUUUAGUUAACCAAAAGUAUAAUUUAUGUAUAUAAUUAUUUAUUUCAAAUAUAUAUAACUAUUUUUAAUAUAACACAUAGUAUCAAAACGAUUUUCAAAAUAAUAUUAUGUUUUAAAAUAAGUAGAUUUUGUUCUAAAACACAAUUCUACUGCUAACAUAUUUUAAAGUAUCGAUAUAGUGUUAAUAAAUAACAAAGUGUUUUCAAAGUUUUAGAAGUUAUCACUAACCGAUUUAUAAUUGGUUAGACUAAAUAUCUAACAUAACCGAAGAUAAAUAGUCAUUUUCUGAAAAUAUAGCAGAUGGAAAGAUUGAACCGGUUUUAUGUAGACCAUAAUCAUAUCUAUGGAUUUUUAUAGGAACUGGUUUGGUAUUAGAAUAAUACAACCAACUUGGAAUAUUAAAUUGUGACAAACAUCGUUUAGUUUGUGAAUGAUAAUAUUGAAGUGUUCAUAUAUAUAACAUGGUUAAUGAAAUCAGUUUAGUUAAUAAGGUUAGUAUAAAAUAAUGGUUCAUCUCUAUAAAAAAUGUAUUUUUUACAAUGGAUAUUAUAUUUUGUUUAUAGUCUUCGAAAGUAUUAUCUAUUAAAUAAAUCACAAGUAACUAUAUACUAUAUAAAUAUAGGAUGGACAUUAUUUAAUAUUAGCUCAAAAUAUUUAUGAUGGAAUAAUGCGUAUAUAGUAAACAUAUAAGUAGAUAAUUAGGUUAGUACCAUUUUUUAUGACUAAUUUACUUUUAAUGAAGAAUAAUUAAGUUAGUAGUAUGAGAAAUAAUAGGAAUUCUAGUUAAAUGAAAUGGUCCAACUAUGACUUGUUUUAAGUAGAUUUUUUAGGACUCCUUCCCUUUUAAUAGUAUUGAUUAUUUGAUUGGUCACACUAUAUCCAAUAAAGUAAAAUUUACUUAAAAUUAUAAAAAAUACUUAUAUUUUGAAACAAACAAAUUUUACUUAAACUACUUGAAAUAAAAAAUAGAGGGAGUAUUUGUUAUAGAUGGAAGAUCAUAUCGUUAAUGGACUUAGUUAAAAGGGCCUAGUUCCAUCCAGACUAUCGAGCUAAUGGGCCUUUGCGAACGUAUGGAGUCAAUUUUUGAUUCUCAUGGCUUGGUUAAUUGUCAAUAACUUCAUGAUGAUGCUAAGAGCAUGUUUAUCAGCAGCCCUUAAGCUGGUAUCUUAGGUCUAGUUGCAUUAAAAAUAAAAGAAAAACAUGAAUUAAACUAAGUUCCGUCCCUUAAUUAAGGGAGCGAAGGCACGUCCCUUACGAGCCACGUGUCUAUUGUUCAUUGGAUUGAGGAGAAGUGGGUCUGUCGGUUUGGUCUCUUUUCUUUUUUUCCUUCUUUUUCUUUUCCUUCGCUCCUCUCUGCGUUCGUCGAUUUCUCUUCUUCAAGGAGCUUCUCCUCAACGAAACGUCGGCGCUCCCGAAGGCUCUUGUCGAUGAUGGAAAUCGGCGUCCCCUCUAUCAGUUUCUGUCUUCGACCAAGAAAAACGACGAGAUCUAAAACUCGUGGUGGCUGUCGGAGACGAAGGAGAACGGUGACUGUUUCAAGCGAAUCGAAAGGUCAAACCUUUCUCUCUGCCAGACGAAACCCCCCGAGAUUUUUUAUAAAGAUUGGAAGAACAAGAGGCAUGCUAAGGUUAAGGGAGGAUGAAGAAACUACAGAGUGAUGGUUUCUCGGGCACCGUUGCAUUGUCUUGUGAUAGUAUCUCAAACACAUACCAAUUGUUAAUCAAGGUAAAAGCUAUAGUUGAAGUGAAGUGGUGAAAGCACCGUGAUUUGAUAAAUGGUGAAAGGUUUGUGAUUUUCAGAAGAAGAGUAUAGUUGUUGUUGUUGUAGUCUUGUGUAGUCAGUCACGAGAGAUGUAGUUGUUGUGUGUGUGUAGUCAUGAGAAAUGUAUGUGUGUGUGUGUCACGAGAGAUGUAGUUGUUGUGUGUGUGUUCUCGUUGUAGUCUUGUGUCACAAGACACCCUUUUAAUUCACGAGACACACUUGUAAUUCAUAAACAAACUUUAUAAAUCAGAUACCAUUCUUCUC